rnacentral:tRNA from 3 species
GCGGGUAUGGCGUAAUUGGUAGCCGCGCCAGACUUAGGAUCUGGUGCCGAAAGGCGUGGGGGUUCGAGUCCCUUUACCCGCA